rnacentral:rRNA from 1 species
AGCAUAUCAAUAAGCGGAGGAAAAGAAACCAACAGGGAUUACCUCAGUAACGGCGAGUGAAGCGGUAAAAGCUCAAAUUUGAAAUCUGGCUCUUUUAGAGUCCGAAUUGUAAUUUGUAGAAGAUGCUUCGGGUGUGGUUCCGGUCUAAGUUCCUUGGAACAGGACGUCAUAGAGGGUGAGAAUCCCGUAUGUGACUGGAUACCUAUGCUCAUGUGAAGCUCUUUCGACGAGUCGAGUUGUUUGGGAAUGCAGCUCAAAAUGGGAGGUAUAUUUCUUCUAAAGCUAAAUAUUGGCCAGAGACCGAUAGCGCACAAGUAGAGUGAUCGAAAGAUGAAAAGCACUUUGGAAAGAGAGUUAAACAGUACGUGAAAUUGUUGAAAGGGAAGCGCUUGCAAUCAGACUUGCACUUGGUGUUCAUCAGGGUCUCGUACCCUGUGUACUUCAUCAAGUUCAGGCCAGCAUCAGUUUGAGUGGUUAGAUAAAGGCUUAGAGAAUGUGGCCCUCUUCGGGGGGUGUUAUAGCUCUAGGUGCAAUGUAGCCUACUUGGACUGAGGACCGCGCUUCGGCUAGGAUGCUGGCGUAAUGGUGUAAGCGACC